ensembl:lncRNA
CUUGGCACUCAAGCAGCACGAAGCUCAGAAAUACCCGCUGGCAGAAAGAAGGCAGCUGUUGGUGCUGGCUGUCUAACAGGACUCUGAAGCCAGGCUGAAGUCAAAUGUUAGGGGCCAAGCCACCAUUGAGAUGAGAUCGCGCCAAGCUGAGAGAGCCCAGACCAGAUAACCCAGCCUCAGACCUCAGACCAGGCACUUACCCAGGCAGCCCAGCCUCAGAGGACACUCUGGCGCCAGGAUGCCCAUCUCUCCGUGGUGGUACCUCGGAGCGCAGGAAAGUGCAUCGUAUCAUCACCCCGAAGAGAGACAUCCUGAAGAAUGGGCAUGUAUCAAAGACUGAAUUUACCAAAGCAACUGUCAGAACCAGAUGGGGUUGUCAUUUGUCACAUAUUUAAUCAGACUGAGAGAGAGGGAAGAGUGACCUGCAGCCAUAGAAACACUGGUUAGGCCACUCUGUGCCAGUGACCACAUUCAGAACUCUGACAGUGUGACUGGGAGCCAACAGUGAGUAGUCUCAAGAAAACCACUCCAAAAACUCAGGUCACUGUUCAGAAGGUCCAGCAGAAGAGAACCCCAGGAACUAUAGCAGCCUACGACUAUGUUCCUCAUAUCCAGAGAAAUUCUAAUCCUCUCUAGAGUAAUUCAGAAAUAGCUCAGUUCCCUUUGUCCGUGACUUUAGCUUCCCCAGAUUCUCCAACUUUGUGAUUAUUAAUAUAAUGGUGGCAGAGCCCAGUGACGAUGGUUUGCUACACACCCAGCACUGCACUGGGUCCUUUGUGCACAUUUGUCCUUCCCAUGAUUGAGGGGAGCUGUAUGUUUUGUAGUUUUAUUCACAUGUUUUGUGUGUGCUUGUGUGUUUGCUUGAUUGAUUGUUUUAGACAGAUAGCACAUAGCCCUGGCUAUUCUGGAACUCACUCUGUAGACCAGGCUGGCCUCAAACUCCAGAGAUCUGCCUGACUCUGCCUCCUGAGUGCUGGGAUAAAGUCAGGCACUGCAGUGACUACCACUCAGCUCUGAGUGUUUCUUGAUAUCAAGAGCUCUCACUUCCAUGACAAAGUUCUUGAAAAGCUGGGCCUCCCUCCAAGCAAGCCACCUAGAAGAUCUGGAUGUGCAGACCAGAGCUCCCUCCCCUGCUGUUCAGAGGCAGUUCCUGAACUCUUAGCAGCCAUCUGCCACCAAAGGAUCUGAACUGACCUGGAGGCUAUGCAGUGAGUUUCACUUGGUUCAGCCACAUCCUGUCCUUUCCUCCCACGCCCUUCCCAAGAGCUGACCUGAUUCCUGGGCUUUCAUUUUUGCCUAAAGGGACUAUUGUUCUUCCUCAUGAGGUCUCCUGGACAAGACUCUUGUGAUGUCCUCUUGACCCUCUUGUGUCUUCCCCCACAAACUCUCUAUGAAUUCUGUGGCUGCCACACCCCUUAAGUCCCACUCAUGCAAAUACAUCCUCAAUGCUUGAAGACUACUCAUAAAAUACUCUCCUGAUCACCAAGACAGUUGUCACUGUGGGUGAUGAUGGCUGAGUGUCAAAGACACUAAACAGCAUUUCUUGAGAUGAUUUGGUGGCUAUGUCUUAGACUGAGGUCUUGAUCCUGUGACUCCAAAUUAAGGAUUUUUUUUAUGUGUCAUAGUAGACAGUAUCCCUUUCUGUUCCAUUCAGACAUCACACAAGUCCAUGGAAAAUACUAAUCUUGCUAUGAUUCUCAGCAGCAUUCAUGAGUAGCCACUUUUAGCCAAUUUACUAGAUGCUAAAUGUCAAGGAACAUUAAGGGCUUGAAAAGUUGAAGGAAUGAUUCAUUUCCACUACUAAGAAAGCUUUCCAUGGGAGAAGAUCCACUUUAGAAAAUUUAAAUAAAGUUGAAAUAGCCUGUGUACAAAUUGUAAGGUGGCAAUAGCAAGAGAGAAUGAGAGGGGAAACAAAAAAACCUUUGUGGUUGCUUUUCUUUCUACAGAAGAUCAUUUUACUAGAAAAGGGCUUGAUUCAUCCUGGAGAGAUGCCGCUUUUUGUUUUAGAUUUUUCUUGAAGACCUAUUGUUCAUUUCAUCACUUUUCUCUGUCUCCAUCUUCUACUGCUUUCUCUGAUUCCUUCCUUUCUCUACCCUCUCUUCCUCCUCUGUUUUCUUCCAUUGGAGGGGACAUUAAAGUUAGUUCUUACCCAAAGCUUCACAUAUUCCACUAUGAAAUUAAAUCUAUCAAAAUGGAUUUUAUGCUUGGUUUAAUUUAUCCUUUUUCUUUGCCUAUAAAUGAUGAGCUGUUACAUUCACCCCAGAGUGAUAGAACUAUUGGGAUGGGUUGUCUAUAAAGAGCACGGGCAUGUAAGAAAAUGAGGAGAGUGGAACUGUGUCUGCCCUGUCCAUGCCUACUCUCCUCCCUGGAGUUGGAGGUAGAGAUGACAAAGACAAAGGGAGUGACUGGG